UACGAAGGGGGCUAGCGUUGCUCGGAAUCACUGGGCGUAAAGGGUGCGUAGGCGGGUCUUUAAGUCAGGGGUGAAAUCCUGGAGCUCAACUCCAGAACUGCCUUUGAUACUGAGGAUCUUGAGUUCGGGAGAGGUGAGUGGAACUGCGAGUGUAGAGGUGAAAUUCGUAGAUAUUCGCAAGAACACCAGUGGCGAAGGCGGCUUACUGGUCCAUAACUGACGCUGAGGUGCGAAAGCGUGGGGAGCAAACAGG
rnacentral:rRNA from 1 species